rnacentral:rRNA from 1 species
CUCAGAAUCAACGCGGCNGGCGCGCUUAACACAUGCAAGUCGAACGAGAAAGGGGAGCAAUCCCUGAGUAAAGUGGCGUACGGGUGAGUAACACGUGGGUUAUCUACUCUUUAGUGGGGAAUACCGAUGGGAAACCGUCGACAAUACCGCAUAAGCCCGAGAGGGGAAAGUCGAAAGACGCUGAAGAAGGAGCCCGCGGUCGAUUAGCUAGUUGGUGAGGUAAUGGCUCACCAAGGCUUCGAUCGAUAGCCGGCCUGAGAGGGCACACGGCCACACUGGCACUGAAACACGGGCCAGACUCCUACGGGAGGCAGCAGUGGGGAAUCUUGCACAAUGGGGGAAACCCUGAUGCAGCGACGCCGCGUGAGUGAUGACGCCCUUCGGGGUGUAAAGCUCUUUCGGCAGGGACGAUAAUGACGGUACCUGCGGAAGAAGCUGCGGCUAACUACGUGCCAGCAGCCGCGGUAAUACGUAGGCAGCAAGCGUUGUUCGGAAUUACUGGGCGUAAAGGGUGUGUAGGCGGUGUGGUAAGUUUGGUGUGAAAUCUCCCGGCUUAACUGGGAGGGUGCGCCGAAGACUGCCACGCUCGAGGAUGGGAGAGGAAAGCGGAAUUCCUGGUGUAGCGGUGAAAUGCGUAGAUAUCAGGAGGAACACCUGCGGUGUAGACGGCUUUCUGGACCAUCCCUGACGCUGAAACACGAAAGCGUGGGUAGCAAACAGGAUUAGAUACCCUGGUAGUCCACGCCCUAAACGAUGCAUACUUGGUGUGAGCCAUUCACUUGGUUCGUGCCGGAGCUAACGCGUUAAGUAUGCCGCCUGGGGA